CUUGCACAAUGGGGGCAACCCUGAUGCAGCGACGCCGCGUGAGCGAUGAAGCCCUUCGGGGUGUAAAGCUCUUUCGGCAGGGACGAUAAUGACGGUACCUGCAGAAGCAGCUGCGGCUAACUACGUGCCAGCAGCCGCGGUAAUACGUAGGCAGCGAGCGUUGUUCGGAGUUACUGGGCGUAAAGGGUGCGUAGGCGGCCGAUUAAGUUUGUCGUGAAAUCUCCCGGCUUAACUGGGGGGGUGCGGCGAGUACUGACUGGCUAGAGUGUGGGAGAGGAGAGUGGAAUUCCUGGUGUAGCGGUGAAAUGCGUAGAUAUCAGGAGGAACACCGGCGGUGUAGACGGCUCUCUGGACCAUAACUGACGCUGAGGCACGAAAGCGUGGGUAGCAAAC
rnacentral:rRNA from 1 species